rnacentral:rRNA from 1 species
UACAGGGGGGUGCAAACGUUGCUCGGAAUCAUUGGGCGUAAAGCGCACGUAGGCGGGUAGAUAAGUCGGGCGUGAAAUCCCUAGGCUCAACCUAGGAACUGCACUCGAAACUGUUUAUCUUGAGUGCCGGAGAGGAAAGCGGAAUUCCUGGUGUAGAGGUGAAAUUCGUAGAUAUCAGGAGGAACACCAGUGGCGAAGGCGGCUUUCUGGACGGUAACUGACGCUGAGACGCGAAAGCGUGGGGAGCAAACAGG